rnacentral:tRNA from 5 species
GGAGACGUGGCCGAGUGGUCGAAGGUACUCCCCUGCUAAGGGAGCAUACGCCAAAAGCGUAUCGAGGGUUCGAAUCCCUCCGUCUCCGCCA